GAGAAGGGAAGCUAUUAAAAAAAAUAUACCCCAACCCCAAGCCUCAGGAUUGCAGCUGUUUAAUGUGGGCCAGCAGUCCUACCAGGAACACUUCGCCUGGAGAAACCUGGACCGGCCUUUCGGGUGUGUGUCUGCGAGAGACAGGGGUUUCUUCUAUUUCCUCGCGCCCCUCUUGUUAUUGUGGAGCCUGCCUGAGAGGAUGAGAGCCCGGACCUCCCUGUAGUUGUCCAGUUUGGGAUCGUGGAGAGAAGGAGCCAGUACGUCUCGGAGAAGAGUGGCUUUAUUUAUAUAGAAGGAAAACGCACAAUUUAAUUUUUCCUUCCCUUGCCUUUUGCCCCGGGGAGCCUGCAGACACGAUGUCAAAACUGAACAUUGGAUUGGAGAAGUGAUCUAUUCAACAAACAAAAAGUUCCCAACCUAUUCAUAAACAAAGCACGGUCAGAUGGCAUUGGAAAGAGGACUGCAGAGCCCAAGGACAUUGCUAAUUCUUUGGAACCCGCUGUCAUGGAGCAAGGUAGACUGAAAUUAGCGUGUGUCCAAAUUAAAACUGCGAACUUCAAGGAUUAUUUGAUGGACUAUUCCUAGACCCUUUCCUGAAGAUUUAGA